ensembl:lncRNA
UCUGCCAAUACAUAUGACCCUUAUCAUUCCUGAACAACAUUUCUGUUCAUUUUUACUACUUUUUUUUUUUUUUUUUCUGUUAAAAUACAGUACUUUUGGUGCUGCUGCAGAAAUUUGUGAAAUGCAAAUAAAGAUGAAGGCUGAUUUCAGAAGCAAUACCACCUUUCCCCAAGAUCAUCAUCAGAUGCUAGAUUUUCUGGUGCCCUUUGAUGAGAUUAUACUUAUGGAAAAGCAAUCGCCUUCUAUAAAGAAGCCCUGUGUGGUUCACUGGCCCCUAGCUGAGCUGUGGGCUGAAUGAACAAGAACACCCUCAGCACCAUCCUAGCACCACGGUCAAAGCAGGCAAGAUCACCAUCUGUGCUCAGAAUGAGGAUAAUGAAUUUGCUAAGACAUCUUGUAACCUCGGUCCCUCUGCUAGAGUAAGAGCAGCCAUGGUGGUGUUGGUUUGCCUUAUCGCGGUCACAGAUCAGUCAGAAAGGAGCUGAGGCUGCUUUUAUCAGUCUUGUGGUUGUAGAGACCGCAUGAAACCAGGAUGACUGUCUCCCUUCCUGUAUAGAAAUUGCAUUACGAAGUCCAAAAAGAGAGAAUCCGGUCAUGGCAAUUUUUAAUAUCUACAUGCCUGGCUGAACUGGCUCCCUUCUGGAUAGACAACCACCAUGCAACUGCACUGGGCGAGGAUGCUCCCACCACGAGGUCCAACUGCAGCAAAAUCAGACACCAAAAUUUUUUUAACCUUUUGUCUCUUCCCACCUCUCCAUCAUUCAAGCCUACAAACAUCUGAAGCUCUGUGUCAUGGGAAAUGUCCGCAAAUGAGGUCCGAGCUUGCACAGGAACAUCUUUGCUUAACAUCCACCACGUUGAUGACUGUAACUUAAUUACCGUGCAUACAGUACCAGUGACAGUAAAUAUUAGUGCUGUGUGCUGCAGAACAAAUAUCCCAUGAUGAAAAAUUCAAACAGUAUCGAGCUUUUCAUUAGUGCAGUAAUGGCUUUCUCACACAUUUAGCUCAUUUUUAACUCAACCUGCUAUGGGAAGGAAAUGACAUACUUUUUGUUGAAUAAGACAGCACAGAGAUUAUAUGAAGGCACUUUUUUAUGGGUAAAGAAACGUAUGCUACAUUAAUCUAUUUUUAUGCUUUGCACUACAUGCUGAUGAGUCAUUUGAAUGCCAAGUUUCAUUAGUAAGUUGGGAGUGAUAUAAGUGGCUCUACGAUAAAAUAAAAUACAUGUAUUUCAUUUAAGAAUGCAAAAAUUUCAGUGUUGCUGCAGAAUGUCUUAGAACACCACCUAGUAUCACAAGAAAGAAGGAUAAAAUCUUAGGACCCUAUUUAUAAAGGGAAUUUUGUGUCCAUAAAAAGUACAUUAGUAAUACAAUCUGCCCAACAUGGUAUUGUUCUAUCAAUUCUCCACGGAUCAUAUUAGUCAGUGUCCUGUUAACAUCCAUUUUAUCAUACUGUCAUAAUAUUAUAUUGAAAUGAGAUCUGGCACUUUUGGGGUCCUGUGCAAGAUGAAAAAAAAUGGGUCUCCAGCAGUCUUCCUCUUAGAUAUAAUUGAAAAAGAGGCAGGCAUGAGGGCAUGCUGUGACUCACGCUGCCAGAGAGUGAUCCGGAAUCAUUCAGAUGAUGAGUACAUAGAGAAUGCCGUGCACAGAAAGAUGGCAAUUUGCUGUACUAAUGUUUUGAAAAUGAAAAUUUCUAGCUGUUUUGCAGAGGAGCUUAGUAGGAAAGGCAGAAGAAGAAAAUAAUAAUAAUAAUAAAAUCUUUUAUAGUUAAGCCUGAUUAUUUCUGCUGUUUUCAGAAAGGCUACACUACAAGAACAAUGUUUUCACAAGAAUAGUGUAAAACAUAAAUGAAUAUUGCUUUAUUGACCAAAAUAAUUAUUAAAAAAAAAAAAAAAAAAAUAGAAGGAAAACAAAAAAUGGAACAAAAAUAUGAAAAAAAAAAAACAAAAAACGCUCCCUUUUCUUGAGGAUUAAUUAUAUACAGAGAGAUUCAGGGGUGCCUUUCAGUCCCCUUGAAACAAAUCUUGGAUCCUCAUUCCUGUCACUGUGGCCACAUAUCCAUAGGGAGGGACACCUAGAUACUCACUGUACUUCAAGCCCAUAAGACUAUAUUUCUGCCAUCAAGCACCAUUUCCAAUAGCCAAAUUAUCUGACAAGCCCUAGCAGGAUUAAAACAAUACUUCUCAUUCUUCCCAAAUAGACUAUAAACAACAACAUCAACAUCCUAUUCCUUUGGUGUUUCCACUGAGCUUUAAUUCAAAUGAGCAAUGCCAACCUUUAGUAUCAAUGGUGUCAAUACUGAUACAUAGUUUAAAAGUUUUAUUGUUUUAUUUAUACAUUUAUUUAUUCUCAUCCUUUGAUUUGACUAGCCUUAUUCUUGAGAUCUUGACUUUGUACUAAAUGAAGAAAAUUUACUACUAAGUGAAGUCCGUUCCUUCAUAAUUUUGUUCUUAAAGACUCCAAAACUCAUACUGAUGGCCUGUCCCCAAGAAAACAAUUCACCUACAUAACCUGAGCCUUCUUUCAGAAAGUGAACCAAUCUCCCAUUAAAAUAAAUAAAUAAAUAAAUAAAUAAAUAAAUCAAAUUCUGCCUUUAGUCUAU